ACUCCUACGGGAGGCAGCAGUGGGGAAUAUUGCACAAUGGGCGCAAGCCUGAUGCAGCCAUGCCGCGUGUGUGAAGAAGGCCUUCGGUUGUAAAGCACUUUCAGUUGUGAGGAAGGUGGUGUCGUUAAUAGCGGCAUCAUUUGACGUUAGCAACAGAAGAAGCACCGGCUAACUCCGUGCCAGCAGCCGCGGUAAUACGGAGGGUGCGAGCGUUAAUCGGAAUUACUGGCGUAAAGCGCAUGCAGGUGGUUUGUUAAGUCAGAUGUGAAAGCCCGGGGCUCAACCUCGGAACUGCAUUUGAAACUGGCAGACUAGAGUACUGUAGAGGGGGUAGAAUUUCAGGUGUAGCGGUGAAAUGCGUAGAGAUCUGAAGGAAUACCGGUGGCGAAGGCGGCCCCCUGGACAGAUACUGACACUCAGAUGCGAAAGCGUGGGGAGCAAACAGGAUUAGAU
rnacentral:rRNA from 1 species